GACGAACCGAGCGAACGUUGUUCGGAAUCACUGGGCUUAAAGGGCGCGUAGGCGGGUGCUCAAGUCUGUGGUGAAAUCCUCCGGCUCAACCGGAGAACGGCCAUGGAUACUGGGUGCCUCGAGGGUGAUAGGGGUAUGCGGAACUAUCGGUGGAGCGGUGAAAUGCGUUGAUAUCGAUAGGAACUCCGGUGGCGAAGGCGGCAUACUGGAUCACUUCUGACGCUGAGGCGCGAAAGCCAGGGGAGCGAACGGG
rnacentral:rRNA from 1 species